rnacentral:rRNA from 1 species
UACAACACCGAAGGUGUUUUGAAUUGAGAGAGAUUUUCAGCGUCGUUCCGAGAUUGUGUUGACUGGCUGACAAGUGUUGCUUGUUUGCGGGUUAAUUAAAACAGAAUUUGCCUGGCGGCCAUAGCGCGGUGGUCCCACCUGAUCCCAUGCCGAACUCAGAAGUGAAACGCCGUAGCGCCGAUGGUAGUGUGGGGUCUCCCCAUGCGAGAGUAGGACACUGCCAGGCAUCAAACA